UAGGGAGCAAGCGUUAUCCGGAAUUACUGGGUGUAAAGGGCGCGUAGGCGGGUCUGCAAGUCAGAUGUGAAAUGCCGGGGCUUAACCUCGGAGCUGCAUUUGAAACUGUAGGUCUUGAGUGAUGGAGAGGCAGGCGGAAUUCCCGGUGUAGCGGUGGAAUGCGUAGAUAUCGGGAGGAACACCAGUGGCGAAGGCGGCCUGCUGGACAUUAACUGACGCUGAGGCGCGAAAGCGUGGGGAGCAAA
rnacentral:rRNA from 1 species